GCGCGGGUCGACAGUAAGCGAGGCCCAGAGUUCGGGUGAUCUGAAUCGAUGGUUCCCCCAGAUCAGAGCCUGCAAGCAUGUGCACUAUCUGGGGACUUCCGUCGCCUGCACCGCCAAGGUUCUUGGUCGGGAACAACUUCCGCGGCUUGCAGGUGAACUUUCACAUCUUGCACUCAAGUGUCAAUCAAGAAACUUCUUACUACUAACAGGUGAGCCCUGCUCCAGCUGCUGCUGGUGUGGCUGAAGAGGAUGUGGCCCAGGACCUUCCCCGUGCCACAACUCCUCAUGCCGCAGCUGCGAGAUGUGGGCAACCGGCAGGCCGAAGCGCUGGAGUUACUAGCCGCGAACACCAGGCGGCAGGGCCAGAUAUCAUUGGAAAGCUGCCGACUGCCAGGUUCAACUUCUCGGGGACGUGGUCCACGAGCUGCAAGGCGUUGGUACCCUCACCCGGGCUCUCAUUGCAGCAGAAGCCACCUGCACAGUGAUUUGUAAAGACUAGUUGUACAUAUAUGUAGAUUUAUUUUUGUUCACACCACAAGUUGUGAUACGCUGGUUUGCUUCAAUGGUGCCCUGCAAUUUUUUUUCAGUUAAUUUUCUUUUUCUGCAUAUCAGAAGCACUGAUGUGCUGUUUCAUUGUACAUAACACAGUGUAGCUCAGUGGUAAAUCGUGUCCUGCAAUGUCAUUUUUUAAAAUCUCAUAUGAAUUAAUGCAUUCAGCAAGUUUGUAGUAUAU